rnacentral:rRNA from 1 species
ACAGCAGCCGCCACGGGAAUACGUAGGUGGCAAGCGUUGUCCGGAAUUAUUGGGCGUAAAGGGCUCGCAGGCGGUUUCUUAAGUCUGAUGUGAAAGCCCCCGGCUCAACCGGGGAGGGUCAUUGGAGACUGGGAAACUUGAGUGCAGAAGAGGAGAGUGGAGUUCCACGUGUAGCGGUGAAAUGCGUAGAGAUGUGGAGGAACACCAGUGGCGAAGGCGGCUCUCUGGUCUGUAACUGACGCUGAGGAGCGAAAGCGUGGGGAGCGAACAGGAUUAGAUACCCGUGUAGUCCCUGUCUCUUAUAC